AAACAUUAAACCGGUCCUGCAGUUCAUGAAGCGAGAAGCGAGCGAUAUCGGAUUUGCUAUACGCAACGGACGAACCCCAAGCCAGCAGCUGCCAGCAGUUCUUUCGAGCCUCUAACGAUCCUUGUGGAGCCCUCGGAUCCGUGACCCAAUAGAAUGUACCGAAUCAGCAGUCAUCCUCUUCAAUCAUCCUUCUUCUACAACGGCCGUAUAAAUCUGAUCUUCAAGCAAUGAGUGGAAUCAGCUACCGACGAAAUUUUUUGUUCUUUAUCGGUCGCUUUCAAACAUCCGGACAACUAUCAAUAAAAAUCCAGCGCUAUGCCGUCUCAACUUCUGCCAACCUCCGGAAGAUCGACAACCAAUAGUGUCCUCUAUGAAUCAUCUACUGGUCAACAGUCAAUUACGAUAAAUCACGGCUCAAUUACGGGUCGGAACACGGCUAUGCCCUUCUGCGUAAAAUGUCAAAUCACGAGACAGGUGUCCCUUCAUCGAAUCAACAGUGAAAAUACUGUCAUUCUCUUUUAUCGCCGGGAGGCUUGUUUGACCCCAUGAUGAAUGAUGAAUACCCCAUCCACCCCAACGAAAUCAGCUUCAAUGAAGAGCGCACAUCUGAUGUGGAAAUCCACUAUACCCACCAAAUCAGCGACCAUGACACGUACCUCAUCAACAUGAACCGGAUUCGCCAUGGACCAUCACCUGAGCCACCACCCACAUUCUGCUGCAAUCUCCACAACGAGAAAACACUGUUUGGGUUUCAUAAGAGGAGUGUGCCGCAAUAUACCACUAGCGGGGGAAUGUACCAAUAUCAUAUAUACACUGCAUUACACCAACGGAGCCGGGAGUGUCAUACCUGUGAUGAAUCCGGAGACUAAAUACAUUUUUAUAAGGUUCAGCAGUUGUUCAGCUUAUUCCACGCAUAUCGGAAACAUCCAAUGAAUGACACGAUGUGGAGUCUACGAUUAGAGCAGAAACUACCUAUAGGGUUGUAUACAUUAGAUUAAUUGUAUCUAUCUACAUAUUGGAAUAAUUCAAUAAAUUUAAA